GCCGGGGUGGCGGAAUGGCAGACGCCCUAGACUUAAAAUCUAGUGUCAGGUUACUGGCGUGCGGCUUCGAGUCCCGUCCUCGGCACCA
rnacentral:tRNA from 1 species